UCGAGAAUCUUUCGCAAUGCCCGAAAGGGUGACGAAGCGACGCCGCGUGUGGGAUGAAGGCCCUCGGGUUGUAAACCACUGUCGGGAGUUAAGAAUUGUAGGGGUGCUAAUAGUAUUUCUACUUGACUAAGGCUCCGGAGGAAGCCACGGCUAACUCUGUGCCAGCAGCCGCGGUAAUACAGAGGCGGCAAGCGUUGUUCGGAAUUAUUGGGCGUAAAGAGCAUGUAGGCGGCUAUGUAAGUCGGUUGUGAAAGCCUUCCGCUUAACGGAAGAAUGGCGGUCGAAACUGCAUGGCUUGAGUGCGGGAGGGGAGAGUGGAACUUCUGGUGGAGCGGUGAAAUGCGUAGAUAUCAGAAGGAACGUCGGCGGCGAAAGCGACUCUCUAGACCGUAACUGACGCUGAGUGUGCGAAAGCUAGGGGAGCAAACGGGAUUAGAUACCCCGGUAGUCCUAGCCGUAAACGAUGGGCACUAAGUAGAGGGGUUUUGAUUAUCUCUCUGCCGGAGCUAACGCAUUAAGUGCCCCGCCUGGGGAGUACGGCCGCAAGGCUA
rnacentral:rRNA from 1 species